UCCGCCCGAGCACUACGAGCCAUAGCUUAAAACUCAAAGGACUUGACGGUAUCCUACACCCACCUAGAGGAGCCUGUUCUAUAAUUGAUAUUCCCCAAUCAACCUCACCGCCUCUUGCCCCUGCAGUCUAUAUACCACCGUCGCAAGCUUACCUCCCCAAGGAAUAAAAGUGAGCCAAAUAAUUUAAAAUUAAAAAGUCAGGUCAAGGUGUAACACAUGCGGCGGAAAGAAAUGGGCUACAUUUUCUUUAAAGAAAAUACGAAAUAUUAAAUGAAAUAAAAUAUGAAGGAGGAUUUAGCAGUAAAGAGAAAAAAGAGUGUUCACUUUAAGCCGGCAAUAGGAUAAGUACACACCGCCCGUCACCCUCCUCAAACACAAUUAUAUAAUAAAUAAAAAUAAAUAUGCAAAAAGAAGAGGAAAGUCGUAACAUGGUAAGUCUACCGGAAGGUGGCCUUGGAAC
rnacentral:rRNA from 1 species